rnacentral:misc_RNA from 1 species
UUUCCGUAGGUGAACCUGCGGAGGGAUCAUUACAGAGUUCAUGCCCUACCGGGUAGAUCUCCCACCCUAUGUUAUUAUUACUUUGUUGCUUUGGCGGGCCGUUAGACUCCGACCCGACUACCGGCCCCGGCUGGUAAGCGCCCGCCAGAGGACCCAAAACCCUGAAUAUUAGUGUCGUCUGAGUACUAUAUAAUAGUUAAAACUUUCAACAACGGAUCUCUUGGUUCUG